CUUAAGAUCAGGGUCGAGAUCUCGUUCGAGAAUUUUGAUCUUGGUCAAAAGUAUCUGAGCUAAAGUGUGAGACUUUUUUUAUUUUAAGUUGAAUAAAGAUCUCCUUUUUUAAUAUAUUUAUUCUACAUUUUUCUGUGAUUUUCAUUUUCGUUAAAUUUUAUAUUUUUGAAAAAUGAUGAAAAUAACAAUUGUCAUCUUAUC
rnacentral:lncRNA from 1 species